rnacentral:ncRNA from 2 species
UAAUAUUACUGUUUUCCAUUAUGUAUAUUCUGGGGAUUGGCCCAGAGUCUCUACCAACUGCCGCAAGAGUUGACUACAUAAAUUUGUCUUAAUGAC